AUUGAACGCUGGCGGCAGGCCUAACACAUGCAAGUCGAGCGAGCGGCGGACGGGUGAGUAAUGUCUGGGAAACUGCCUGAUGGAGGGGGAUAACUACUGGAAACGGUAGCUAAUACCGCAUACCAUCAGAUGUGCCCAGAUGGGAGUAGCUAGUAGGUGGGGUAACGGCUCACCUAGGCGGCGAACCCUAGCGGGGCUGAGAGGAUGACCAGCCAAACUGGAACGGAGACACGGUCCAGACUCCUACGGGAGGCAGCAGUGGGGAAUAUUGCACAAUGGGCGCAAGCCUGAGGCAGCCAUGCCGCGUGUGUGAAGAAGGCCUGCGGGUUGUAAAGCACUUUCAGCGGGGAGGCGUUACCCGCAGAAGAAGCACCGGCUAACUCCGUGCCAGCAGCCGCGGUAAUUC
rnacentral:rRNA from 1 species